rnacentral:lncRNA from 1 species
UUCAAUAAAUAUUUUCUCCCAUUUCUUAAAACGAAGGAUUAAUUGUUUGUAAAUGUACAAAGUAUACUUAGAAUUAAUUUUUAACUAAUACAGUAAUACGGAGUAUUUUUAUUUGAGCCAAUAUAUGAAAGUAGUCAUUUUCUUUUAGUAAACUUAAAAUUUACCCAUUCAAAUGAAAACUUAAAAAUUUAUCCACUUUUUGUGUUAAAUGAUUAAACUGCCCCUAAAAUUAAAAUUAAAAAAAAAUACUCACACCUCAUUUCUAUCACACUCCUCUCUCUCUCUAUCACACUCAUCUCUCUCUCUCUCUCCUCUCUCGACCACCCACCCCCA